rnacentral:rRNA from 1 species
UGCAAGUCGAACGGUAGAAGGUCUUCGGACUUUUGAGAGUGGCGAACGGGUGAGUAACACGUAGGUAAUCUGUCUUAGGGGUUGGGGAUAGCCCAUGGAAACAUGGGGUAAUACCGAAUAGCUCCCUUUCAGCACAAGCGGGAAGGGGGAAAGGCGCUUAGGCGCCGCCUUAGGGUGAGCCUGCGGUCCAUUAGUUAGUUGGUGGGGUAAGAGCCUACCAAGGCAGCGAUGGAUAGCCGGCCUGAGAGGGUGAACGGCCACACUGGGACUGAGACACGGCCCAGACUCCUACGGGAGGCAGCAGCUAAGAAUCUUCCGCAAUGGGCGAAAGCCUGACGGAGCGAUGCCGCGUGAGUGAAGAAGGCGGGAACGUUGUAAAACUCUUUUCUCGGGGAGGAAUAAGGAGGGGAGGUAAUGCCCCUUUGAUGACGCGAACCGAGGAAUAAGCCCCGGCUAAUUACGUGCCAGCAGCCGCGGUAACACGUAAGGGGCGAGCGUUGUUCGGAAUUAUUGGGCGUAAAGGGCGUGUAGGCGGCGAUGUAAGCCUGGUGUGAAAGACUUCAGCUUAACUGGAGAGCCGCGCUGGGAACUAUGUUGCUUGAGUAUAGGAGGGGGAGCUGGAAUUCCAGGUGUAGGGGUGAAAUCUGUAGAUAUCUGGAAGAACACCGGAGGCGAAGGCGAGCUCCUGGCCAUAUACUGACGCUGAGGCGCGAAAGCGUGGGGAGCGAACAGGAUUAGAUACCCUGGUAGUCCACGCUGUAGACGUUGUGCACUAGGUGUCGGACUUACGGGUUCGGUACCGAAGUUAACGCGAUAAGUGCACCGCCUGGGGAGUAUGCUC